CACGUAGGGGGCAAGCGUUGUCCGGAUUUAUUGGGCGUAAAGAGCUCGUAGGCGGCUCAGUAAGUCAGGUGUGAAACCUCCAGGCUCAACCUGGAGACGCCACCUGAUACUGCUGUGGCUAGAGUCCGGUAGGGGAGCGUGGAAUUCCUGGUGUAGCGGUGGAAUGCGCAGAUAUCAGGAGGAACACCAAUGGCGAAGGCAGAUCUCUGGGCCGUAACUGACGCUGGAGGAAGCGGAAAAGCAUGGGGAGCGAACAGG
rnacentral:rRNA from 1 species